rnacentral:rRNA from 1 species
UACGAAGGGGCUAGCGUUGUUCGGAAUUACUGGGCGUAAAGCGCACGUAGGCGGACAUUUAAGUCAGGGGUGAAAUCCCGGGGCUCAACCCCGGAACUGCCUUUGAUACUGGGUGUCUUGAGUCCGGAAGAGGUGAGUGGAAUUGCGAGUGUAGAGGUGAAAUUCGUAGAUAUUCGGCAGGAACACCAGUGGCGAAGGCGGCUCACUGGUCCGGUACUGACGCUGAGGUGCGAAAGCGUGGGGAGCAACAGG